AUUGAACGCUGGCGGCGUGCUUAACACAUGCAAGUCGAUCGGUAACGCGGGGGCAACCCUGGCGACGAGAGGCGGACGGGUGGGGAACGCUUGGGAAUCUGCCCUUCAGCGGGGGACAACCCGGGGAAACCCGGGCUAAUACCGCAUACGCUCCACGGAGGAAAGCCGGGGACCGCAAGUCCUGGCCCUGAAGGAUGAGCCCAAGUCGGAUUAGCUAGUUGGCGGGGUAACGGCCCACCAAGGCGCCGAUCCGUAGCUGGUCGGAGAGGACGAUCAGCCACACUGGGACUGAGACACGGCCCAGACGCCUACGGGAGGCAGCAGUGGGGAAUAUUGGACAAUGGGCGAAGGCCUGAUCCAGCGACGCCGCGUGGGUGAAGAAGGCCUGCGGGUUGUAAAGCCCUUUCGGUAGGGACGAAAGCCUCCGACCUAAUACGUCGGGGGGUUGACUUAACCUACAAAAGAAGCACCGGCUAACUCUGUGCCAGCAGCCGC
rnacentral:rRNA from 1 species